CCUACCUAAUGUUGGCAUAUGCUUCGCUCUCUCAACAUGAAUAUACAAAAUACACGAGAAGCCAUUUCCACCAGUUCAAGUCCUGUGCCAUGUGUUCUUGUAAAUCUCUUUAUGACCAAUGACACUAAACGUAUGGCUGUGCUGUUCUUAGACUCAGACACUUGUAUGUAGAAUGUAUUUGUAUGGGUCUGUUUAUUGUUAGGAGGAAUCCUGUCUGUCUUUAGGUUAUUAUUUUUCUUAGUUUCUCUACUUCUGUUUUUUAAUAAUCGUACAGUUCUGAUAAGCUACUUCUCAAUUUCCAAGUUUGUUUCACAGGAGCAAAAACAAGCCCACCUUUUACAGUUAAGAGCCUGUUGGUACAUUCUCAGUGUGGACGCUGGGGCCUUCACUUCAUGCGACUGCUGGGUGUUUCAUUUAUGAAGAGAAAUCUCUCGACAGUCCUAUUGUUGUGCUAGAGAGCUCAGUGCAGGUGCGGUAUCAUGACGAGGCCUCCUCAGCAGGCGGAUCUCCAAAGUUCCAGAACUCGGUGGAGUAGUAGAUGGAAAAUACAAGUCCAAGUGCAGGCAGUGACUGGGUUGCUGUAUUCAGGAUAGAAGCUGGACUGCCUAAAUCUCAAGCGCCUGUUUCAACCUUAAAUGAAAACACACAAACCAAUAGUUCUUCCUGCUUUACUUACUCAGUGCAAUCUUAACAUCCAAGUGAAAGAUGUCACCGUACAAGAAAUACAUUUUUGUCAUCGUGUCCCUAUGCUGAGGUAAUGUGCUCCUCAUCAAAAAAUCUAUAAAACAGAAAAGAUGUUUUCAUUCAUUGGUUUGUUUAACAUUGUGAAGAUAUUAUCAGCCUGAGAAAACAAUUGAACAGAACAAGAAUAUCAAUCACACCUUCACAGAUUUCACUUGACAGUAUCUGGCAAGAAGCACUAUGGGCCACAAUACUGCCAGAUACCUUAGCAAAAUUGUCAUCAGGACUCUAAAAUCAGGCCACAAAUGGCAGUGAAGAUUAAUGGGGAGCUAACUAAAUGGUUCAAAUCUACAGUAGGACUUUCUCUCUUGAAUUCAACACAACGAGCUCUCUUAGGCUGGGUUUAUACUUCAGGAGACGCAGCACAUGAUCCAGCAGACACUACUGCUAUGCAAACGUCGUACUGUUUAUACUUGAACGUGUACUUUACGUAAAUCUGGAAGAUUCCACCAGGUGGCAGUGCGAGAUAUCAUCACG